AGGACGAACGCUGGCGGCGUGCCUAAUACAUGCAAGUCGAACGGUCUUUCUAUGGAAGCUUGCUUCCACUGAGAAGAUAGUGGCGAACGGGUGAGUAACACGUGGGUAACCUGCCCAUAAGAGGGGGAUAACAUCCGGAAACGGGUGCUAAUACCGCAUAGUUUUCUUGAUCGCAUGAUUGAGAAAGGAAAGACGGCCUUUGUGCUGUCGCUUAUGGAUGGACCCGCGGCGUAUUAGUUAGUUGGUGAGGUAACGGCUCACCAAGACGAUGAUACGUAGCCGACCUGAGAGGGUGAUCGGCCACAUUGGGACUGAGACACGGCCCAAACUCCUACGGGAGGCAGCAGUAGGGAAUCUUCCGCAAUGGACGAAAGUCUGACGGAGCAACGCCGCGUGAGUGAAGAAAGGUUUUCGGAUCGUAAAACUCUGUUGUCAGAGAAGAACAAGUUGGAGAGUAACUGCUCCAGCCUUGACGGUAUCUGACCAGAAAGCCACGGCUAACUACGUGCCAGCCGCCGC
rnacentral:rRNA from 1 species